UCCCCAAGAUGGCGGCCGCUAAGGACAGUUGUGGCAAAGGAGAAAUGGCCACAGGGAAUGGGCGGCGGCUCCACCCGGGGAUUCCUGAGGCCGUGUUUGUGGAAGAUGUAGAUUCCUUCAUGAAACAGCCUGGGAAUGAGACUGCAGAUACAGUAUUAAAGAAGCUGGAUGAACAGUACCAGAAGUAUAAGUUUAUGGAACUCAAACUUGCUCGAAAGAAAAGAAGGCUAAAAGGUCAGAUUCCUGAAAUUAAACAGACUUUGGAAAUUCUAAAAUACAUGCAGAAGAUAAAAGAGUCCACCAACUCAAUGGAGACCAGAUUGUUACUGGCAGAUAACUUGUAUUGCAAAGCUUCAGUUCCUCCUACUGACAAAGUGUGUCUGUGGUUGGGGGCUAAUGUAAUGCUUGAAUAUGAUAUUGAUGAAGCUCAGGCAUUGUUGGAAAAGAAUUUAUCGACUGCCACGAAGAAUCUUGAUUCCCAUAAGGAAGACCUUGACUUUCUUCGAGAUCAAUUUACUACCACAGAAGUCAAUAUGGCCAGGGUUUAUAAUUGGGAUGUAAAAAGAAGAAACAAGGAUGAUUCUACCAAGAAUAAAGCAUAAUGCUGGCAAUUAAAAAUGUGGUUCCGUUUUCCAAACAUGUUAUCUUAAAUACCCCUUUAUCCUUACAGGUUGACAUAACUUUGAAUGUUUUAACAGCAAGAAUUUUAAGAAAAGAUAAACAUCAUUUUAUUUAUUUAUAAAAACAAAAUUAGUUUCAAAUAUUUUUGACAUUGUGGUUUUUUUCCACAUUUCUCAGCAAAGCUAAUGGUAUUUUAAUCAUUAUUUUUGCCUGUCAUAAGAAAACUCUUAGCUGAAAUGGCCGAAAACUGUGAGACAUGCUAUGGAAGCUGAAUGUCGGACACUAGCACGUUUACUUUUUCCCUUUCUAAUUGGCUUAUGUUACUCCCACUUGAUGUGGUUAAACCAUUUUAGAG